UGCACAAUGACAAAACAUAAAAAAUACAAACGAUUUAAUCUCUAUAAGCCGUGUGAAAACUGUGGAAAAUUCCCGCUGUUUUUUGUUGUUUUUUGUUGUUGUUUUUUUUUUUUUUUUUUGCUCACAGGGUGCUACUGCUACGCUACAACAGUCUCAGAUAAAACUUAAAAUUGUAAAUGUUUUUUUUUGUUUUUUUUGGGCAGUGGCUAUUUUACCGGCGCCGGUAAAAUAGCAAAUUUGCUAUUUAGCCGGCUCUGAUUAAAUUAUAUCUCACUGGAAUUAAAAUGUAAGAAUAAUGAUUAAAUAUCAAAAUUUUAUAUUUAAAAACUUUUGUUACUGUUACUCAUAUGUAACAGGAGGGGUUUUUAAGUUGUGUAUUUCCACUGGAAAUUCAGUUAGGAACAUAUACUGUAAUAUUUAUUCCAAUUUUUAAACAGGUGAGGUGGCGAAGAGAAAAUAUGUUGAAACUUUGCUAUAAGUGAAGGGCCUAGGCUAACAAGAAAAUGGCCCAAAGCUAUAUAAUGGAGAAAACAG
rnacentral:lncRNA from 1 species